rnacentral:rRNA from 1 species
UACGGAGGGGGCAAGCGUUGUUCGGAUUUACUGGGCGUAAAGGGUGUGUAGGCGGCUGGAUAAGUCUGGCGUGAAAUCUUCACCGCUUAACGGGAAGGGGUCGCUGGAAACUGUUCAGCUUGAGUAUGGUAGAGGCAAGCGGAAUUCCUGGUGUAGCGGUGGAAUGUGUAGAUAUCAGGAAGAACACCGGUGGCGAAGGCGGCCCACUGGAUCGGUACUGACGCUGAGGUGCGAAAGCGUGGGGAGCAAACAGG